rnacentral:lncRNA from 1 species
GUAACAUAAGCUUGAGUGGGUACAGAAAUGCCCCCACAGAAUUUUCUGUUUCUGCUGUUUUCUCUAAUUCUUGCCAGGCUUCCAGAAGGGACCGAUCUAAAGCCAUGAAGCAGAGCAGCCUUGACAGUUACGUUUUCAUCAUCACCACCAUCUUCCUCAGAUGAAUCAAGAUGUUCAUGGGUG